AUUGAACGCUGGCGGCAUGCUUUACACAUGCAAGUCGAACGAGAACGGAUUAUAGCUUGCUAUAAUUGUCAGCUAAGUGGCGCACAGGUGAGUAAUGUAUAGGUAAUAUGCCUCUUACUAAGGGAUAACAAAUGGAAACGUUUGCUAAUACCUUAUACUCCUUAUUAACAGAAGUUAAUAAGGGAAAGAUUUAUUGGUAAGAGAUUAGCCUGUAUUGUAUCAGUUAGUUGGUGGGGUAAUGGCUUACCAAGACUAUGACACAUAACUGGUUUGAGAGGAUGAUCAGUCACACUGGAACUGAGACACGGUCCAGACUCCUACGGGAGGCAGCAGUGGGGAAUAUUGCACAAUGGACGAAAGUCUGAUGCAGCAACGCCGCGUGGAGGAUGACACAUUUCGGUGCGUAAACUCCUUUUAUAUGAGAAGAUAAUGACGGUAUUAUAUGAAUAAGCACCGGCUAAC
rnacentral:rRNA from 1 species